UACGGGGGGGGCAAGCGUUGUUCGGAAUUACUGGGCGUAAAGGGCUCGUAGGUGGCCAACUAAGUCAGACGUGAAAUCCCUCGGCUUAACCGGGGAACUGCGUCUGAUACUGGAUGGCUUGAGUUUGGGAGAGGGACGCGGAAUUCCAGGUGUAGCGGUGAAAUGCGUAGAUAUCGGGAGGAACACCGGUGGCGAAGGCGGUUCUCUGGGCCUGACCUGACGCUGAGGAGCGAAAGCGUGGGGAGCGAACAGG
rnacentral:rRNA from 1 species